rnacentral:tRNA from 4 species
CGUUAAGAAGCUAAACCGGGAGUAGCGUUAGCCUUUUAAGCUAAAGAUUGGUGAUUCCCAACCACCCUUAACGA